rnacentral:rRNA from 1 species
GCAGCAGUGGGGAAUAUUGCACAAUGGGCGAAAGCCUGAUGCAGCAACGCCGCGUGAACGAUGAAGGUCUUCGGAUCGUAAAGUUCUGUUGCAGGGGAAGAUAAUGACGGUACCCUGUGAGGAAGCCCCGGCUAACUACGUGCCAGCAGCCGCGGUAAUACGUAGGGGGCUAGCGUUAUCCGGAUUUACUGGGCGUAAAGGGUGCGUAGGUGGUCCUUCAAGUCGGUGGUUAAAGGCUACGGCUCAACCGUAGUAAGCCGCCGAAACUGGAGGACUUGAGUGCAGGAGAGGAAAGUGGAAUUCCCAGUGUAGCGGUGAAAUGCGUAGAUAUUGGGAGGAACACCAGUAGCGAAGGCGGCUUUCUGGACUGCAACUGACACUGAGGCACGAAAGCGUGGGUAGCAAACAGGAUUAGAUACCCUGGUAGUCCACGCUGUAAACGAUGAGUACUAGGUGUCGGGGGUUACCCCCCUCGGUGCCGCAGCUAACGCAUUAAGUACUCCGCCUGGGGAGUACGCACGCAAGUGUGAAACUCAAAUGAAUUGACGG